GAUGAAGAACGUAGCGAAAUGCGAUAAUUAAUGUGAAUUGCAGAAUUCCGUGAAUCAUCGAGUCUUUGAACGCACAUUGCGCCUCAUGGCAUUCCGUGAGGCAUGCCCAUCUCAGCGUUAGAAAAUAUUCUCAAAUUUUAGUUUUGUGCUAAAAUUUGGAUCAUGUCAAGGAAGCUAUUACUAUUAUUGUGAUCGCUCUUUGGAAAUUGAUAGGUCUUUGAGUUGCUACUCAUAGAACGUGAUGAAUCUUUCUUCGUUCUAUUGUAAUUCACUCUGGUAGUCCUAAAACUUGUAUGCCUGUGGCAUAUCUUGUAAUUUGACCUGAGAUUGGGUAGGGAUACCCGCUAAACUUAAGCAUAUCAAUAAGCGGAGGA
rnacentral:misc_RNA from 1 species